UGUAGAGUGGUAAACUGAAGUCCCUGAGUUAUUCACUUAGAAAUUAGACAUCAAACUAUGGAUAAUCCAGCAAAAUUAUGAUACGUAUGAUUGUAUUAAUGAUAAGGUUGCCUUCUUUGGGUAUAUCACUGUAUCACAGUUUGCAUAAGUAAUAGAAUACUAUUAUUCAUAGCAAGUUAUAAGCUCAAGCUCAAGCUGGUCAUAGUUGAUAGAACAAAGGUUAUAGAGAAAUUCUUAAAAUGAGUACUUGCUAUCAAUUCUGGUUUUUUAGUACUAGGAUUUAAAUAAGCAUCAAUCGCUUGUCCAAGUUUAUGCAACAGCAAAAUCACCUACUGUAAGGUGGAUCACAUCCUAAGAUUGGUGCAAGUCUAUUGGUCUAGAGAAUGUGACUUGGGAUUGUGCUAGUUAUGGAGUAAUAUGGACCAUAGAUUAAAUACAAUGGUUGGAUUUAAUCUUGUAGUCAAUUACCUAUACUAGUGUUGUUACUCUCUUGUUCAUAGUACAAU
rnacentral:lncRNA from 1 species